ACGCACUACUCUUUAGAACGAAAACAGUGUUAUUGGAACCGUAAUAACUGGAGUACAUUCAAAGCCCCUUUUAUAAAAGAAAAUGUAAAAGCUAGUAUAAAAGUCUUCUCCACGGCAAAUUUCCAAAUCCAAGAGUUCCAAUUUCUUUCUGUAACCCAAAUGGAAUCCGAAGGAAAUGAAGCAAAAUGGUGCAAACCCACAAAGCCUGCUCAAUUUCCUUCCAUUUCAAGUCAAGAUACUGUCUUGCCAAUGCCUAACCUUCCUGCAGAGAUAGUCACUGAAAUCUUGUUAAAGCUUCCUGUGAAAUCUCUCUUGAAAUUCAGGUCUGUUUCUAAAUCUUGGCUUGAAUUAAUCUCUAGCCCUCAUUUUGUGAAGACCCAUCUCUUGUUAUCUUCUAGUGACAAGGACUACACCCACCAUGGACUUAUGUUUAAGUUUGCUAGUACAUCUGACCAAGGCGUCAAGGAUUGUUCUCUUAGCGCUUUACUUAACCAUCCUAUAACUGAGGCAUUUGACUUGGAUUAUCCUGGUAAAAAUCCCAAAGAUUAUCCUUGGCUUGUAGGUUCUAUCAAUGGAUUGAUUUGUCUUUCCAUCAGAAUAGAUGACGGAUUAUAUGACUUGUUUCUAUGGAAUCCUUCAAUUAGAAAGUAUAAGAAACUGCCUAAUUAUAGACUUAAUCUAAGCCGCCAUCGUUACUUUUUGGAGAAAUGUUUGGAGGAACCUGGUGGUUGCAAAUUUGGUUUUGCAUAUGAUGAAUUCCAAGAUGAUUACAAGGUAGUGGGUAUUUUUCCUAUUCACAAUCACAGAUACAUACGUCUGUGUCGUAUUGAGGUCCAGAUAUAUAGUCUAAAGAGUAAUUCUUGGAGGCGUAUUAGCGACUUUCAGGGUAGAGAAUUUUUGAAUGUUCCGGGCAAGCUUGUGAAUGGAAAACUUCAUUGGUUUGAAAAGGGAUGGAACAUCAAUUCUAUUGAUUUGGGUAAUGAGAAAUGGACAGAGAUAGAAAAGCCGUGCAAUUUUAAAGAGUAUGGUCAUUUUUUUCUAGGAGUGCUUGGAAGUGAUCUGUCUGUGUUGUGUAAUUACACGUGGUGUCAUGCAGAUGUCUGGGUUAUGAAGGAGUAUGGAGUAAAAGAAUCUUGGACAAAGAUGUUUACUAUCAGGUCUCCUGAUGACUUUAGGUCACAUAUAUCUCUACCCAUUUUAGUAUCAAACGAAGGUGACAUUUUGCUAGAAAUUGGAUCACGUUUGGCGAAAUAUAAUCCAAAGGAUGAGUCAAUCAAAUAUCUAGAUGUUACUAAUUUUGCUCCAUAUAUUGAGGCAGAAAUCUACGUUAAGAGCCUAGUUUGUCCCUUUUUACAGAAUGGACCACGAAUGCAAUUACUACAGAGGUUCAAAUAACUCAGAUGAAGACAACUGUGUGACUAAUAUCCUGUCAAAGCUUGAUAGGGAAAAGGUUGGAUGUGAUAAGUUACCUGGUACGUGUGCUAGUGGGAGGUAGCAAGUAUUUGGUAGAAUAGUCAAGAUGCUCAAGUUGAAUGGAGCACCGCCAUUAUCGACAAAAAAGGGAAAAGGGAGGAAAUGCAGGAAUUAUUUAACGAAGUUUAAGAGGUUCAACAGCAAGUUCAGGAGCGGAAGUCCAACCAUUUUUACUAUGAGUAUGACUAAAAAGUAAUUCAACAAGAGUCGAGAACUUAGAAGACGGAUUGAGUAUGAACCGCAGACUAAUGAAGUGUUUAUCUCUUUUCAGAGCAUCAAACAGAGAUAACUGGGAUAUUUAGGGGCUGAGUGAGAGGAGAAAACAGAAACACUUUGCUGGUUUUAUGCCACAGAAACUUUACUGGUUUUAUGUGCAGACAGACACUUGGUUUUCUUCUCCUUUGUUGAUUGUAUCUAAUUUGUUAAGUAUUGGUACUUACCAUUCUCUAGUAGGCAGCUUGGAAAUGGAAGACACUUGUUUCUUGUUUGCUUUCAUAAAAAUUGUUUGGACUUUAAAAUGGUAAGCCUAAUUAAUUCUGA